CCUGUUCACAGCCAUGGACUGCAAUCUACUGGUGGCUGAUUUUGUGUUUCCCACCCAUUCACGAUCCAAAGGCGCCACGUUACGUCACGCCCGGUUGCCGGCCAUCACUCCAGCAGCACUGAGAGUGGGCUCAGCCCAAAACGACCUCGAGACGGCAUUGGACCUGAGAGAGCCUCGCCGACUGCAGAGCGCCAGCGGCUCGGAACGCCAUCUGUGAGAGCCCGGAAUCUUCCCCGUUGCCUGGCACCGGCGCACAAAGCACCCCUGCACCCACCCUUCCGGUCCACAGAUCCCAGCAGAAGUCGGAGCAAUCCUUUUCCUCCCGAAACCUCGCCGCGUUUCCCAGGAGCUCAGCCCGGGUGGCGAAUCACCCUCGCCGCCGUCCUUCAUGGCCGCGGAAAGGUGGAGAACAGGACCAGAAAUCGGUUGAAUUCGCUCUUUUCUGACUUAUAAAUGAUGUUACAACGUUGGAUACUCGUGUUAAACGUGUCAAAUCAUCCGGUUCAUGCUUUUAAGUGAUCUUAAAAGCAUGCCUCUUUUUUUAGGUUGCGUACUAAUGAAUUGAAAAAGGUACUAUACUGCCUUUGAAAAAUACCAGUACUUUUUUUUUUUAGUUCUCCUUCACAGACAUGUCGUGGUGACAAUGCUGGUAACAUGAGCCGAGUCGCACGUUGAGUCCACAAACACACAGAGCACUUACAAGCAGAGACAGCGUGGAGACAGAAUGGAAAUAUUUUGGCUUAAAAAACUAACAAUAAAGGGGAAGCUAGGCAGCUAGCUCGUGGCCAAUCUCCCUACAAGUACUGCAUACUUGAAUAAGAAUAACAUGGCAAAUACAUGUUACACAGCCGUAACUUCCUGGCACUAAACCUGCAGAAAAUAGUUUUGUUUAAGUUUUCACACUUUAUUUACCAUUUCUUACAUAUUCUUUAUUUCCGUACCUUUAUUUUCAGAUGUUAUUAAGUGUUCAAUGUGAUUUAACUAUUUUGUUGACAUUGUUGGAGUGUUUUCCACGCUUGUGUUGACAUUUUCUCUCUGCCUUGAUAGUUGAGGUUCCAUUUCAAAGAAAAAUUGCUUUUUAAUGUUUUUUUUCCUGCUCCUUAUUUUCCAUAGGUCAUGAAAAAUAUCAAUAAUGAUGGAUAUUGACUGACAAACACUUAUGUCGUGAUACAGUUUUACUCUCACAUCAGUCAUGUCAGAACAAAAUAUAAAAAAUGUGCUACUUUAAAAUAAUACUUUGGUCCAAUAAUAUUCAAGUAAUAAUUACUGCAUACUUAAAUAGGAAUAACAGACCAAAUACAUGUUACACAGCCGUAACUUCCCGCCACUAAACCUGCAGAAAAUAGUUCUUCUCAGGUUUGUUUACGUUUCUUGACCGCAAUAAACACCAACAAA